rnacentral:tRNA from 1 species
AUUGUUUUGGCAGAAAAAUGUAGUAAAUUUAGAAUUUAUAAAUGUAAUUAUUUUACAAACAAUA